rnacentral:rRNA from 1 species
GGAAUAUUGGACAAUGGCCGCAAGGCUGAUCCAGCCAUGCCGCGUGCAGGAUGAAGGUGCUCUGCAUUGUAAACUGCUUUUGUUUGGGAAUAAACCCCUCUACGUGUAGAGGGCUGAAUGUACCAAAAGAAUAAGGGACGGCUAACUUCGUUCCAGCAGCCGCGGUAAUACGAAGGUCCCAAGCGUUAUCCGGAUUUAUUGGGUUUAAAGGGUGCGUAGGCGGGUUAUUAAGUCAGUGGUGAAAGCCUUCAGCUUAACUGAAGAACUGCCAUUGAUACUGAUGAUCUUGAGUAUGAUUGAGGUGGGCGGAAUGUGUCAUGUAGCGGUGAAAUGCUUAGAUAUGACACAGAACACCGAUUGCGAAGGCAGCUCACUAAGCCAUAACUGACGCUGAUGCACGAAAGCGUGGGGAGCAAA